rnacentral:rRNA from 1 species
CACGCUGUAAACGAUGUCGACUUGGAGGUUGUUCCCUUGAGGAGUGGCUUCCGGAGCUAACGCGUUAAGUCGACCGCCUGGGGAGUACGGCCGCAAGGUUAAAACUCAAAUGAAUUGACGGGGGCCCGCACAAGCGGUGGAGCAUGUGGUUUAAUUCGAAGCAACGCGAAGAACCUUACCAGGUCUUGACAUCCCGAUGACCGCUCUAGAGAUAGAGUUUUCCCUUCGGGGACAUUGGUGACAGGUGG